CCUACGGGAGGCUGCAGUGGGGAAUAUUGGGCAAUGGGCGCAAGCCUGACCCAGCAACGCCGCGUGAAGGAAGAAGGCUUUCGGGUUGUAAACUUCUUUUAUGAGGGACGAAAGAAAUGACGGUACCUCAUGAAUAAGCCACGGCUAACUACGUGCCAGCCGCCGCGGUAAUACGGAGGUGGCAAGCGUGAGCCGGAGGUACGGGGCGUAAGGGGCGUGUAGGCGGGACUGCAAGUCAGAUGCGAACAUUAUGGGCUCCACCCAUAGCCUGCAUUUGAAACUGUAGUUCGUGAGUGGUGGGGAGGCAGGCGGGAGUGCGGGGGUAGCGGGGAUAUGCGUAG
rnacentral:rRNA from 1 species